rnacentral:piRNA from 1 species
UCAAGGCAUGCUUGUUGUACAGGUCC